UACGGGGGGAGCAAGCGUUGUUCGGAUUUACUGGGCGUAAAGGGCGCGUAGGCGGUAGCACAAGUCAGUUGUGAAAUCUCCGGGCUUAACUCGGAAAGGUCAACUGAUACUGUGCGACUAGAGUGCAGAAGGGGCAACUGGAAUUCUCGGUGUAGCGGUGAAAUGCGUAGAUAUCGAGAGGAACACCUGCGGCGAAGGCGGGUUGCUGGGCUGACACUGACGCUGAGGCGCGAAAGCAAGGGGAGCGAACGGG
rnacentral:rRNA from 1 species